rnacentral:rRNA from 1 species
CGUGAGCAACCUGCCUUUAUCAGGGGGAUAACGCAUCGAAAGAUGUGCUAAUACCGCGUAAGACCACAGCUUCACAUGGAGCGGGGGUCAAAGGAGCAAUCCGGAUAAAGAUGGGCUCGCGUCCGAUUAGCUAGUUGGUGAGAUAACAGCCCACCAAGGCGACGAUCGGUAGCCGACCUGAGAGGGUGAUCGGCCACAUUGGAACUGAGAGACGGUCCAG